GAUGAACGCUGGCGGCGUGCCUAAUACAUGCAAGUCGAGCGAAUGGAUUAAGAGCUUGCUCUUAUGAAGUUAGCGGCGGACGGGUGAGUAACACGUGGGUAACCUGCCCAUAAGACUGGGAUAACUCCGGGAAACCGGGGCUAAUACCGGAUAACAUUUUGAACCGCAGGGUUCGAAAUUGAAUGGCGGCUUCGGCUGUCACUUAUGGAUGGACCCGCGUCGCAUUAGCUAGUUGGUGAGGUAACGGCUCACCAAGGCAACGAUGCGUAGCCGACCUGAGAGGGUGAUCGGCCACACUGGGACUGAGACACGGCCCAGACUCCUACGGGAGGCAGCAGUAGGGAAUCUUCCGCAAUGGACGAAAGUCUGACGGAGCAACGCCGCGUGAGUGAUGAAGGCUUUCGGGUCGUAAAACUCUGUUGUUAGGGAAGAACAAGUGCUAGUUGAAUAAGCUGACACCUUGACGGUACCUAACCAGAAAGCCACGGCUAACUACGUGCCAGCCGCCGCCGUAA
rnacentral:rRNA from 1 species